AGUCGAGCGCACUCUUCGGAGUGAGCGGCGGACGGGUUAGUAACGCGUGGGAACGUGCCUCUCUCUAAGGAAUAGCCACUGGAAACGGUGAGUAAUACCUUAUACGCCCUUCGGGGGAAAGAUUUAUCGGAGAGAGAUCGGCCCGCGUUAGAUUAGAUAGUUGGUGGGGUAACGGCCUACCAAGUCUACGAUCUAUAGCUGGUUUUAGAGGAUGAUCAGCAACACUGGGACUGAGACACGGCCCAGACUCCUACGGGAGGCAGCAGUGGGGAAUCUUGGACAAUGGGCGCAAGCCUGAUCCAGCCAUGCCGCGUGAGUGAUGAAGGCCUUAGGGUCGUAAAGCUCUUUCGCCAGGGAUGAUAAUGACAGUACCUGGUAAAGAAACCCCGGCUAACUCCGUGCCAGCAGCCGCGGUAAUACGGAGGGGGUUAGCGUUGUUCGGAAUUACUGGGCGUAAAGCGUACGUAGGCGGACUAUUAAGUUAGGGGUGAAAUCCCGGGGCUCAACCCCGGAACUGCCUCUAAUACUGGUAGUCUAGAGUUCGAGAGAGGUGAGUGGAAUUCCGAGUGUAGAGGUGAAAUUCGUANAUAUUCGGAGGAACACCANUGGCNAAGGCGGCUCACUGGCUCGAUACUGACNCUGAGGUACNAAAGUGUGGGGAGCAAACAGGAUUAGAUACCCUGGUAGUCCACACCGUAAAC
rnacentral:rRNA from 1 species